rnacentral:tRNA from 1 species
GCGUUUUUGCCCGAUUGAAACUCGGCCUCCGGAGCCGAAGGUCACACGUUCGAAUCGUGUGUGGCGCG